rnacentral:rRNA from 1 species
AGUGAACGCUGGCGGUAGGCCUAACACAUGCAAGUCGAACGGCAGCACAGUAAGAGCUUGCUCUUACGGGUGGCGAGUGGCGGACGGUUGAGGAAUACAUCGGAAUCUACUUUUUCGUGGGGGAUAACGUAGGGAAACUUACGCCAAUACCGCAUACGACCUACGGGUGAAAGCAUGGGAUCUUCCGACCUUGCGCGAUUGAAUGAGCCGAUGUCGAAUUAGCUAGUUGGCGGGGUAAAGGCCCACCAAGGCGACGAUCCGUAGCUGGUCUGAGAGGAUGAUCAGCCACACUGGAACUGAGACACGGUCCAGACUCCUACGGGAGGCAGCAGUGGGGAAUAUUGGACAAUGGGCGCAAGCCUGAUCCAGCAAUACCGCGUGGGUGAAGAAGGCCUUCGGGUUGUAAAGCCCUUUUGUUGGGAAAGAAAAGCAGCAGGUUAAUACCCCGCUGUUCUGACGGUACCCAAAGAAUAAGCACCGGCUAACUUCGUG